rnacentral:rRNA from 1 species
GCGGCCUAUCAGCUUGUUGGUGAGGUAAUGGCUCACCAAGGCGACGACGGUAGCCGGCCUGAGAGGGCGACCGGCCACACUGGGACUGAGACACGGCCCAGACUCCUACGGGAGGCAGCAGUGGGGAAUAUUGGGCAAUGGAGGGAACUCUGACCCAGCGACGCCGCGUGCGGGAUGAAGGCCUUCGGGUUGUAAACCGCUUUCAGCAAGGAAGAAGCGAAAGUGACGGUACUUGCAGAAGAAGCACCGGCUAACUAUGUGCCAGCAGCCGCGGUAAUACAUAGGGUGCAAGCGUUGUCCGGAAUUAUUGGGCGUAAAGAGCUCGUAGGUGGUUCGUCACGUCGGAUGUGAAAAUCUGGGGCUUAACCCCAGACCUGCAUUCGAUACGGGCGAGCUAGAGUGUGGUAGGGGAGACUGGAAUUCCU